AGCUGUCUGUUAUUAUCUCGUGGU
rnacentral:piRNA from 1 species